UCCAAGGUCUACAGAAGGCUCAGCUGCACCACCAGUAUCGCUCCGGUCCCAGCUGCACUUUGGGCCUCGGACGGAGGAUACAAACCUGGUAAUCCUCUGCUUACAUAGUAAUCUUGGGGAAGAGUUAGGACAACAAAAGUGGCCUGAACGACAAACACGAAUGGAGCUACAACGUUUCCAGCAGUCAGCUGAAGGAGGACCAGAGAAACCAGCUUCAGUUGCACCUCAGACUGUCCAGAAGCUCAGUGAUACCCUGGUCCAGAUCUGAGAGGAGAUCCCCCAGGACACCAUCCAUCGUCUCAUUAGGAGCAUAUAGUACUCCAACGUUGUCAGGUAAUUGCAGACCAAAGUUGAAGUCCAAAAGAUGGCAGACUUGCCAGUGGACCGAGUCACUCCAGACCUACCACCCUUUUCCCAUGGAGCUAUUGACUACUUUAGGCCUAUCGAGAUAAAAAGGGGUUGUUCCCUUGUGAAGAUAUGGGGAGUGAUCUUCACCUAUUUGGCGAGCAAAGCCAUUCAUCUGGAAGUGGCGAGUAUGUUGGACACAGACGGCGAUUCCUGUGUCGGCGAGGGCCAGUACUCUCCAUCAGAACUGACUGUGGCACUGACUUUAUGGGUGCACAGAAGGCAUUACAGACUGCUGCACACCAACUAGACCAUCACAAAGUUUAUGACACUCUGAUGACCCAACAUGUCAAAUCACUGUUUAACCCUCCCUUUGCAGCCCACUUUGGAGGUGUGUGGGACAGACUAAUAAAAUUAGUAAAAAGGUACUCUUACAGUGCUAAAGCAACAAACACUGGACGACGAGAUAUUGCACACAGCCCAGUGUGAAGUCGAAUCCAUCCUUAAUGACCGCCCAAUAACAAACAUAUCCAGUGACCCUAAUGACCUUGAACCACUGACUCCGAAUCACCUUCUACAGUCAAACACCAAACCACCGUUGCCUCCUGGACUCUUUGACAGAGAGGAUUUGUAUAGUAGAAGGCAAUGGAGACAUUUACAAUAUAAUACUCUGUUAGACUGCUGAAAACCUCACUCUUCUGCAGCAACGGCAGAAAUGGACUGAUACCAAAAGGAACUUUAAACAGAAUGACAUAGUAGUCAUAGUGGACCCAAUGACACCAAGAAGCCCCUGGCCUUUUAGGCCAGGUGGUGAAGACCCUGCCUGGGCCAGAAGGACUUGUCCGCAGUGUCUUGGUGAAGACCAAGCCCAACCUCAUCCAGAGGCCUAUCGACAAGCAUUGUUUGCUCUUCAAAGCUGAGUUGUCAGCUUGAAGGUCUGGCUUCCUUAGCCAGGCUUAUGUCCCAUGCCCUGCAUGCAUUCACAUAUACUGACAAACUUACAGAUUUGAAUUUGCAUGCUCACACACCAGCACACUGACACUUGAUGGGCUCUCAUAAGCCAAUGGACUGGCUAUAGACAGUUUUGCACACACUCAUGGACUUUAGGAGUUUUGGGGAUUUAAACAAAAAGAUAAAAUGCAUUGACACUAUUGAUUACUGUUAUUUACCGAUUUGAAUUGUACUGAUAUCCAUCCAUCCAUUUUCCAAACCGCUUAUCCUACUGGGUCGCGGGGGGCCCGGAGCCUAUCCCGGAAUCAAUGGGCACGACGCAGGGAACAACCCAGGAUGGGGGGCCCAUCACAGGGUACACUCACACACCAUGCACUCACACAUACACACCUAUGGGCAAUUUAGCAACUCCAAUCAGUCUCAGCAUGUUUUUGGACUGUGGGGGGAAACCGGAGUACCCGGAGGAAACCCCACGACGACAUGGGGAGAACAUGCAAACUCCACACACACACGUAACCCAGGUGGAGACUUGAACCUGGGUCCCAGAGGUGUGAGGCAACAGUGCUAACCACUGCACCACCAUGCCGCCCCCAGUACUGAUAUCAUUUAACUUAUGUUUUGAUUAAUAUAUUUUAUGGCUCCGUUUUUGUAUAUAUUUGAUAAUUCUCCUCCCUUAACAUUGACAAUUAGGGGCCCGAGUGUAGGACCCUUAUUUGUGAUCGUGGUAAACUUACCAUGUGAUCGAUUACUUACCGGUCAUGUGGUAUGUAGACACACCUCCUGACGCGCCUGUGACACGAACGCAGCGCUUUAAUUGGUUGAUACAGAGCACUGGAGAGGUUAGAUGGUGAAGCAGAACAGUUUCUUGACCACAAACGAAAGGAAAUAUUACUCUGUGGAAUACUUGUUUUGCUGCUUUAUUUUGUCUUUCAUCCUUUGUUCACAACCUGAAAGUCAGUCGGAUUGUUUUAAUGGAAUAAAUCACCUUUUAACUUAAUUUACUCUCCGUGCGUGCUCUAUCUGGAUUGUGUGUCGGGAACCUUUUCCAUCAACCUCACGUGGCAACUUUUGUUUGAACUGCCACUUCAACAUUUCUACGGAAUGCUACGGCUAAAUAGAUAUGUGUAGUGUAUUAUCACGUAUAACCAAAUCAGGUUUAUGCCAUUGAGCUAUCUCGAGAAAAACGAACUGAUUUAAAUAAUGUUAUUGGCAUGUAUUUUAUGUAUAAUUAUGUCUGUUUGACAAUGUCUUGGGCUAAUUCAGACCUGUGCAGAAAAGACACGGCGUCUGCUAUUAAUUACGUCCCUACGCGGUCAGACCCGCAGCUUUAGAAGUGUCAUAAUUUUUUUACGCUUUUCAACAAAACUGCCCUCCAUCAACCCUUGGUACUCACUGACGCCCCCUAGUGGUCGCCUCCGGUCAAGAACCACUACUCUAAAAGACGCUUAAAUGGUCCAUGUAUUCUCCGUAUUCAAUAAAUACUUAAGACCUUCGGUACAAUUUACGCUCAUAUUUAUUUAUUUAACGGGCGGGUUUGUCCAAAGUGACGCACAAAUGAAGUAGAUUAAACAGUAAUAAUUUAAGUUCAUAGACAAAUCAUCAAACGGAAAUAGAAAUAACAAUAUUAAAAAAAUAUUAAAUUAAAUUCGGAGUUCCGAUUAAUCUACCCAGUCAGAAAAUAGGUAUGAGUAGUUUCCUGUUAACACUAAACAUUUUUCAAACAUUCAUCAAAUAUGAAGUUGUAAUGAAAAAGUCAUGUACAACGUGUUACAAGAUUUAAAUGGUCCAUUAAAACCGACAAUAGGCAUACUCUCUGCCAUCAAAUUAAUAUGAAUAAUUAAUUUUUAAGGAAAAUGAAUAUUAAUAGAAUAUCUAUUCUUCAUGAUUAUUUAUAAUUUAGGCUAAAUAUCUAUUACAACUUUCAAGAAAAGGCAGAAGCAAAAUCUAAGCUUUUUGUUAUACAAGCCCGUCCAUCUUUCUCUGCUGCAGCUAAGCAGGUUAGAUGAGGUUAACUAGAUAACCAGCGAUUUUAUUGAAGCGGAGGCUGGAGCGAACCUAGGCUCCGGAGAUCCUCCCGAUCCUGGGCGGCUAGAUGAGCCGUGCAGUUGUAAGGCUGCCACAUGCAUUCACUUAACCACUAGCUUAUUUUUUCUUUAACACUUUAUGUACCGUGUGUUAACGUUAAACGUGACACGUUUUGGAAAUCGCUGUUAUGUACACUGCAGUAGUGACAAGCAGUUACUUCGCUCAUGCACGGUAUCAAACGCUGCGCUGAGCCAUUGAAAGUGACGUCUAGCCUGCGCUAUUUUAAUACCCAUUUCUUGCUUUUAGGAACCCGUUACCAAGGUAACUGUCCAGUGACCAACCCUCCCCCUUCAAUCCGCAGCUCUGUAUUUAAGAAGCCUAUAAAAAACAUCCACUAUUCCUCAAAAGCCGUUUUUAUCAUUAUAUAUUUUUUAAUGAUAAUUUUAAAUAUUGUUGGUGACGUGUUUAUGCUUUUCCUUGUAAUUAUGCCUUGGGAAACAAAGUCCCAGGUGGGCUUUCGAUGGGGGAGAUGGCGGAGACGUCACCCAAUAAUGGCCCAAACAGUGGUAUAACAGCGGUGCUGAACUGGCUAAACACUUUCAAUAUCAUCUGACAUUAUCAUUUUAAAAUUAUUAAUGCCCCGCAACCGCCAUACUGAUUAUUCACUUCAGCAAUGUCGGGGACCCACUGACCGUUUUUUUUUUUUUAGUAAAAAUGUGGACAUUCUAGCAGGGAUCUUGAAGGAAGCAAAAAUGUAGAGCAGCGUUGGGGCCCCAAGGAUCGGAUUGGGAAAUACUGCAAUACAGGACCACAGUGAGACUGAAACCUCUCACAGUGGGUACAGGGCACCAGAAAGGGUAUACAAUCUACAGCAGGGGUGGCCAAUCUUAUCCACAAAGGGCUGCUGGGUAUCCAGGUUUUUAGGAUAACCUAGGAUAAGAUGGCCCAGCCCUGCUCUACAGGAUGCCAGUCCAUCACAGCCUACACACAAAGAUCAGUUCAGAGACCUUCAUUCCCCCAACUGCAUGUUUUGCGACCGAGACCUGCAGACUGCUAAACACAGGUUUGAGCAUAAUGGCAUCAGAUGAUUUCCAUCGAGAUGUCCAACAGAAAAGUGAUCAUCUGGGCUGUGAUACAAUCCUAUGUAUAUGUUGGUAUACAUUUUUUCCCCUUGCUUCUUGCAUAAUGUGUGUGACUCAAUGUGUUACAGAGCUGUGCUUAUGCUCAGGAGGUUCUUGGUUCAAAUCCCUGGGCUGGGUUUGUGGGUUUACUGUUCUCCCAUGUCACUUUACGUAAUUGCAUCUGCUAAAUGACAAAAACUGUGCAA